CUCUGAACAGUCUGGUGUUAUUCCUCACCCAGGUCAAAAUACUCCUGAAUGUGGAUCAGCAAAAGGAGGAGAUGAAGGCCAACCAGGAGCAGCUGAGGAGUGCUGUGGCCAACACAGGAGUUGGGAAAUGAAAUCAAAGAUCUAGAGAAGAUGGCCACACUCAGCCAAGAGAAGUAGGAUCUCAACAUCUAACUGCAAGCUGAGCAAGAGAACCUGAUGGAUGCUGAGGAGUGCCUGACCCAAAUUAUGAAGCCCAAGAUGGAGCUGGAGAGGCAGAUCUCAGACAUGUAGGAGUGGCUGGAGGAGGAGGAAGAAGAGGAAGGCACAGUGGCUUCCCUGAGUGCCAGCAAGUGUAAACUACAGGGAAUCUGAGCAACCAGAAGCAGGAUCUGGAGGGCCUGGAAACCACACUGGCCAAGACAGAGAAAGAGAAGCAGGCCCUGAAUCACAGGGUCCACACCCUGAAAGGGGACCUCUUCCCCCACGAAGACAACAUUCCCAAGCUCCAGAAGGAGAAGAGGGCCCUGGAGGAGCUGCACCAGGUAGGCUCUCCUGGCAUUUUCCUGUGGCAGAGCAGAUGGAGUUGGUAUAAUAUAUUUUACUCCUGGAGAUGAGAUGGCAUCCAGAUCUAGACCAUGCUCCUUCAGGUAGAUGCCUCAGGAAAGACAAAAAUAUCCCCA
rnacentral:lncRNA from 1 species